rnacentral:rRNA from 1 species
UACGGGGGGAGCAAGCGUUAUCCGGAAUUACUGGGCGUAAAGGGCGCGUAGGCGGGUUCAUAAGUCAGAUUUUAAAUCCAACAGCUUAACUGUUGACCUGGAUCUGAAACUGCGAAUCUUGAGUGCAAGAGAGGAAAGCGGAAUUCCUGGUGUAGCGGUGAAAUGCGUAGAUAUCAGGAAGAACACCGGUGGCGAAGGCGGCUUUCUGGCUUGUUACUGACGCUGAUGCGCGAAAGCGUGGGGAGCGAACAGGAUUAGAUACCCUGGUAGUCCACGCCCUAAACGUUGUACACUUGGUGUCGGAGGAUCUAACCCCUUCGGUACCGUAGCUAACGCCUUAAGUGUACCGCCUGGGGACUACGGUCGCAAGGCUGAA